rnacentral:rRNA from 1 species
ACAGAGGUCCCAAGCGUUGUUCGGAUUCACUGGGCGUAAAGGGUGCGUAGGUGGCCAGGUAAGAUUGAUGUGAAAUCCCGGGGCUUAACUCCGGAAUGGCAUUGGUUACUGCUUGGCUAGAGCGUUGGAGGGGGGACUGGAAUUCUCGGUGUAGCAGUGAAAUGCGUAGAUAUCGAGAGGAACACCAGUAGCGAAAGCGAGUCCCUGGACAACUACUGACACUGAGGCACGAAGGCUAGGGGAGCAAACAGGAUUAGAUACCCUGGUAGUCCUAGCAGUAAACGGUGCAUGUUUGCUAUGGAUGGAUUCGACCCCGUCCGUGGCGGAGCAAACGCGUUAAACAUGCCGCCUGGGGAGUACGGUCGCAAGAUUA